CUCCUUGGUUUCUGAAGGACUCCCCUCCAACCUGUCUGUAGGUAUGUUUGUGUAACCAGACACUGAGAGUAGCUGUCUGCCGAGGAAUUAACUCGGCAACCCCCAAAGCUUAGUUUGCAUUCAAUAGAGGUGUUUGUUUUUCAGGUUUAAAUCUCCAGACGGGUUGAAGAAGUCGCCCAAAAGGAACCACUUCGCAAAUUUUGUUUCCUCCCUUGAAAUCCCGCUGGACGUGGAGCAGAUCUUCACUUGAAGACAGCGAAGGACAAUUUGUGGAAGGCUUAAUGAAGUGAAAGCAAGAGGUCCUGUGGAGGAGGCAAGGGUGGGAGAGAUAUGGGAUCAUAAAAUUUGGCAAAGCAAGUGAUUGAGUGCAGUGUCUUUGUUAGUUUGUCAGCAUCGCAGUUACAAGUAAAAUAUGCUUGUAAAAU
rnacentral:lncRNA from 1 species